CUGGAACCAGCGAGAGGACUUGGCCCACACCAGGGAACAGGAGGUUCUCUAUUAAUCACUCCCCAGACUGCGGUUUUCUCUCUCUGUGCCCUUCCUUUCCAGACUGGGCGCUCUGGGGGAGAGGAGCGAUGGCCAUGUGGAAGCCCCAGGACACCGCCUCAUAGUGGAGAGAGGAAGGCUCUAGUGAAGAACCAUGGAGUUAGCAGAGGCCCUGUGAGAAUUUGUCAAUAAGCUUCCCACUGGCAAAGAUCUGAUGCUGUCUAAGAUAUUCUCCCUGCCCCUGGAUACGCAAUCUCUCUAAUGACAUGAGGCUUCUUGAGUUGUACUCUGCUGCAUUUGUCCUAUUAAAGCCACAAGAUGCAUUAACCUGAAGCUGGAAGGCCUUUGGGGGCUCUGACCCUCUUCUUCACCUUAAGAUCUGAAGGGCUCCUUCACUCUUCCCUCAAGUAGCAGGACCAUACAGAUCAAAGUAUGACCUACAGGAGACCAAACACCAAAGAAGUGAGUCUUUGGGAAGAUAGCAAAGAGUUAAAAAGGACCAAGAAGCUGUUGAGAAGGAGAAAGAAAAAGAAGCAAGGAGAAGCCCUAAAUAGAAUGCCUUUUCCAACCUAAGGGAGGGUGACUGUAGCAUGAGUCUUAAGAAUCUAGGACAAU